rnacentral:misc_RNA from 1 species
AGAAGAUGUGCCCCAUAACUUUGAAAAGGCAAAGGCUCACAAAUCUACAAUGGAAGCUGCUAUCGGAGAGUUCAAUCGGAAGCCAGUUAAGGGUGUAGAAUAUUUGAUAUCAAAUAAGUUGGUGGAAAAUAACCCUGCUUCAGUUGCUCAAUUUCUAAGAAAUACUCCCAAUCUGGAUAAGGCUAUGAUCGGUGAUUAUUUGGGUCUACAUGAG